AAAUUAUUAAAAAAAAAAAAAACCCUUGCCCCGCCAACAGUCUGCAACAAGUGCAGUCACCACCAAUUGCUUUCCUGCUAUAUCCUAUUAAUCAAUAUAGGAGCCAUGACCAUAGAGGCCCAUAUCAUGAAGUAUCACCAAUUUUUUUGAAAUCUCUAUGAAAACAUAAAAACUAUUCAAUUAUAUUUAUCAAUGCUGACUUGCUGCAAAAGACUCAUGCUUUAGCCCUUCCCAACAUCCCCUUCUAACCACUAAUGAGUCUCAGUCUUUGUCUAAAGAAAAUUAAGAAAUGCAUUGAGAAAGGCAUAUAACCUUUCAACAAGAAAGCACUUUUCCAACUCUCUCAAAAGGGAAUCUAUUCCAAACAUAUGUACCAUGAUCCCAUAGUUUGACAGCCCACCUUAGUGAUUGCAUAAGAAAAAAUUAAAAAAAAAAAAA
rnacentral:misc_RNA from 1 species